rnacentral:lncRNA from 1 species
AUUUGCCAUGAAGUGAUGGGACUGGAUUCCAUGAUCUUAGUUUUUUGAAUGCUGGAUUUUAUUAUUACAGCUCUGUAAAAAUGUACACACAAGUGUACAAGAACUAGAAGGUGUUAAAAUAAAAAUAGCUACUGUGUUUAGAAGGUGAAAUACUGUGUUUCAAAUUUUUCUUCUUAGAUGUAGUUUAGUCUUCAAUUAAAUAAAUGGAAGAAAGUAUAUCAAUUAAAAAAGAAUCUUAUUCCUAAACUUCCCCACUAGACAAGGAGACCAGGGACCCUGCCUGUCUUAUUCAAGGCUGUUUAUCAAAGCAUGUGUCUGGCAGUUGAUAGGUGCUCUGUAAAUAUUUGUGGACUGAUUGACCACUGCUGUCAGCCUCUCGAAACAAGGUUUAAUAAAUCACUGAUGAACGAACUCCUGCUUUCCCAAAGAGCCCCUUCACAGUCUCCAAAAGCAAAAACAACUUCCUUUACAUAAAAAUCCUGCAUCAUCUCUCCCCCAGAGUUGCACUGGCAGAAGAAGGACAUUAUCUUAAAGCCACACCUUGAACACCAGGGCCACUUUAGGUGGAAGACUCCCCCCAACUUACUUCAGCAGCUUGACCCUUGGGGCAAAUCCUCAGAGGGACACAAGGGGGAGCAGUUUGAUCCCCAGAGCCAUCUGGACACUAACUCUUUACACCAGAAGGUGGCAAUGUAUGCGCUUCCUUAAGGUGCAGAACUGGCACUUUCCAGGGCACUUUGAUAGUUUAUCAUUCAGAGGACCAUGAUGGAAGUGUGUGACAAGGGUGACCAGGCCUCAGGCCAAGGUCAGGAACAGAUGAAGGCCAUCAGUGCCUGCUGUGCCUGGUGCUGUGAGAGAUGGCAUCUUACACUUGGGUAAACCAAGGUCCAGACAGGCUGAGAGACUGCCAAGACCCCGGCCUCUAGUAGAGUAACAUUGCCCAGAUCUGAACCCGGCUCUCCUUACACCAGUGCUCACCCUCUUUCCAGUUCCCAAGCAACAGUAGUCUGUGAAAAAGUGGGCAAGGGUGUUUCUAAACAUUUGGUUAGGGACUCUCUGGAUGGCUCAGUGGUAAAGAAUCCACUUGCCAAUGGAGGAAGCAUGGCUUGGACCCCUGGUCCAGGAAGAUCCCACAUGUCGCCGAGCAACUAAGCCUGUGUGCCACAAUUAAUGAGGCUGUGCUCUGGAUCCCGGGAGCUACAACUUCUGAGCCCACACGCCGCAACUACUGAAGUCUGCGCACUCUAGAGCCCGCGCUCCGCAGCAAAAGAAGCCAUCACAAUGAGAAGC